CGCUGUAAACGAUGUCGAUUUGGAGGUUGUGCCCUUGAGGCGUGGCUUCCGGAGCUAACGCGUUAAAUCGACCGCCUGGGGAGUACGGCCGCAAGGUUAAAACUCAAAUGAAUUGACGGGGGCCCGCACAAGCGGUGGAGCAUGUGGUUUAAUUCGAUGCAACGCGAAGAACCUUACCUACUCUUGACAUCCAGAGAACUUUCCAGAGAUGGAUUGGUGCCUUCGGGAACUCUGAGACAGGUGCUGCAUGGCUGUCGUCAGCUCGUGUUGUGAAAUGUUGGGUUAAGUCCCGCAACGAGCGCAACCCUUAUCCUUUGUUGCCAGCGGUUCGGCCGGGAACUCAAAGGAGACUGCCAGUGAUAAACUGGAGGAAGGUGGGGAUGACGUCAAGUCAUCAUGGCCCUUACGAGUAGGGCUACACACGUGCUACAAUGGCAUAUACAAAGAGAAGCGACCUCGCGAGAGCAAGCGGACCUCAUAAAGUAUGUCGUAGUCCGGAUUGGAGUCUGCAACUCGACUCCAUGAAGUCGGAAUCGCUAGUAAUCGUAGAUCAGAAUGCUACGGUGAAUACGUUCCCGGGCCUUGUACACACCGCCCGUCACACCAUGGGAGUGGGUUGCAAAAGAAGUAGGUAGCUUAACCUUCGGGAGGGCGCUUACCACUUUGUGAUUCAUGACUGGGGUGAAGUCGUAACAAGGUAACCGUAGGGGAACCUGCGGCUGGAUCACCUCCUU
rnacentral:rRNA from 1 species